GGAGUCGAUCCAACAGCAAAGACCUCCAACGUCCGACCAACCAGUUGACAAUUAAAUUUUCCUUCUCAUUCUACCCUACUCUUUUUUUAUCUCUCGUUAUUUUGCUGCUAAGGUCAAUGAUUAAUUUCAACCGGUGGUGACUUUUUAAGAAGUACUGGGACAGGAACUGUCAGAGUUCAGUCAGUCAAGCGAUUGACACUCGAUUGCACGUUACAUCAAAAGUUGAUUUUUUAAAUUUCCAAUAUGUCUAAGAAGAAGGUCUGCAUCGUCGGAAGUGGCAACUGGGGCUCAGCAAUCGCUAAGAUAGUUGGCGCCAAUGCUACUAAAUUUAAUAACAAAUUUGAAGAACAAGUAACUAUGUACGUUUAUGAAGAAAUGAUUGAUGGAAAAAAACUUACGGAAAUAAUAAAUACUCAGCAUGAAAAUGUUAAAUAUUUACCUGGACAUAAAUUACCACCCAAUGUUGUCGCGGUCCCGGAUGUCGUGGAGGCUGCUAAGGACGCAGACAUCCUUAUCUUUGUUAUCCCGCACCAGUUUAUUCGUGGACUAGCUGCCGCGAUGUUGGGAAAAAUAAAACCAACUGCGGUGGGACUGUCCCUUAUUAAAGGAUUUGAUUCCAGUGAUGGAAAAAGUAUUAAAUUAAUUUCAAAAGUUGUUGAGGAACAUUUGAAAAUUCCCUGCUACGUUCUAAUGGGCGCUAAUCUUGCCAAUGAAGUUGCCGAAGAGAAAUUCUGUGAAACCACUAUUGGAGUAAGAGACAAACGACUUGCACCAGUCCUCAGAGAUUUAAUGAUGACACCAAACUUUCGAGUUGUUUGUGUUGAAGAUUGCGAAGCUGUUGAAGUUUGUGGUGCACUGAAGAAUAUCGUAGCAUGCGGAGCAGGAUUUGUCGACGGUCUAGGUCUAGGUGACAAUACAAAAGCCGCGGUAAUAAGACUGGGAUUAAUGGAGAUGAUUAAAUUCGUGGAUACAUUUUUCGGGGGAUCAAAACUUUCAACAUUCUUCGAAAGUUGUGGUGUCGCUGAUUUAAUUACAACCUGCUACGGUGGCCGUAACCGCCGGGUUUGCGAACAAUUUAUCAAAACACAAAAGUCCAUCAAAGAACUUGAAGAUGAAUUGCUGGGAGGACAAAAGCUUCAAGGGCCAGCGACCGCCGAGGAAGUCAAUGGGAUGCUCAAGGAGAAAAAUAUGACCGACAAAUUCCCUCUUUUCACUGCCGUCCACCGGAUCUGCACGCGGGAACUCAAAGGCUCGGAUCUGAUCGACCAAAUCCGUAAUCAUCCUGAGCACGCGGGAGAAACUUCAGACUUGUUGAACCCGAACCUCCACUUUGAUAUUAAAAUUCACAUAUUUUUUAACAAAGGACUUUGUUAGUUUAUUCGGCAACUAUUUUUUUUAAUUUAUUUAUAUAUUUAUUAUUAAAUAAAUUAUUUUUUUACGAUGAAAAUGGAAGUAAUAGAAGACUAAUUAUUUUUACGUGAAGCUCAAAGGAAAUUGUUACUAAAUUUAUCGUAAAAUAAAUUAAUAAAUAUUUGUUUAGAAAAAAAAAA